AGGCGGGGUCAGAGGCCAGGGAGGGUCCUGUCUAUGACUGCCCUCAGAAGCUGGGGCAUGUGGGCUCUCUGGGGGCACUCAAGCUCAGCUGGGGUGGAACAGGGGACCUUGGGCCAUGGCAAUGAUCAUCCUUGAGCCUCUGCCCAGGACCUGGACACCACUGAGGCCCUCGGCAUCCAGGGUCUCACUCACCUGUAGCCUAGCAGACCCUUCUGAGAGCUGGACUGUAACCCCAUUAGUCCUCGGAGAUUCAGGGUGAGAUCAGGUAAUUUAUUGGUCUGCCUAAUUAGGCCUCUUCAUUAAUAAUAUAUUCCUGUUAAUGAUCUUCUCUCUUUUGUGGCGUUAAACCUGUCAGUAGGCUGCUUGCUGGGUAGCGGGAGGCAGCUGGGGCAGCUGGUAAGGCCUGGGGUCCUAAGAUGUGAGGGGGCUCUGGAAGGCUGGGUGGGGAGCCAUGUGCAGGAUCCCCAGCUUCUAGCAUUGUUAUGAGAAGCGCCGGGGAGUGGGCAGGGGUGGUGGCCUGGCCCAGAAGACAGCUGGGUGAGUCCUGUGGUUAGUGGGCACGGUCAGGGCAGUGCUAGGGUGGCCCAAGCUCUAGUGGCAGAGGCCUGGGGAUGGUAGAAAUGUUAGAGAACAAGGUUUGGGUGGAAGGAGGCUUGGAUAGCAUAUUUGAGGCAAUCCCACGAGGUGACAGAGGAGAAAUAAUGGGGCAACACUUCCUAUGGGGUGAGACCUGGGCCACUGGGGGGUAUUAUUGCACCAUUUUACAGAUGAGGAAACUGGGGUCAGAGAGGGGAGGAACCUAUCACCGCCCAAGAUCCAGAUGAAGAAAUGGGUACUGUCCCCACCUGCCUGGCUCUUUCUGCAGGAUCCUUCCCUCCGGACUACGUCCAGCCCGCAUCCCAGCCAACCCUGCCUCAUGGGCUGAGAGUCAGACCCGGUGGGAGCAGAGAACACAGUCAACGCUGGGGGGCGGCUGUGGGAGGCUCACAGGGGCGGCCAAGCACAUGACCCCCUCCGCCUCCAGGUCAGGUAGACAAGGGUCCAAUUCUCACCAUCCCCUCUGCAGUCGGCAAAGAGGAGUCCUCCGUCAGGCACGGUCACAAAGCUUCUUAGACUUAAUUAAAAUCAAUCUCCAAUUACUCAAAUGCCAUUGAUUCAGGUCUCAACCAAUGAAGAAAAUAUGAUCAUCAUUAUGGGAAACGUCAAUAUUAGGAUGUUGUGCAUUUGUCUCUGCACAGAGCAGCCCACGUGCAGAACCCACUUCCAGACCCUUCUGGGAAGGACAGCUCUGCCACUCUCCGCCGGGCAUCCCUGAAUUGUUACCUUCUGGCUGAGCCUCAGGAGCUCACAGAAACGAAGGCCGUUGGGAGGCUCAAGGAUUUCCAAACAGUGUGUAUCUCAGGUGGCCUAAGCAGAUGCCAUGGAGAUGGCCUGAUAUCAUUGUGUGGCUGGGGUCCUCUGGUUGUUGUAGUGGGCACCCUCGGCUGAGUCUCAUUGGGGUCCUUGGCUCUUGUCCAAUCAGCCCCUGGGUGAUAGAGUGCAGGAAGGAAGGGCCUCAUGGCCUUUCCAUAAACCCCUCUCAUGUGGUGUUUCAAGGCCUGGACUCAGCCCAGGGGCUUGUUGGGCAGCAGGUGUUUGGUGCGCAGCAUCAGACACCUGGACCUCUGUGCUCUUUGGUUCAGACCUCUGGUUCAGCCUUUGCAAGGGAGCAAGGAUGGAAAGCAGGGCACAUUAACAGAGGUAGAACAUCCGGGAGGAAGAAGGUGACACUGUGUGUGGGCUGGAAGAAGUGGCUUAGACCAGAUAACCUUGGGUCCUGGUCUGGCUUUUGAGUCUUGAGCCUGCCCUGGGGCCGAGGGGCAGCCACACCUGUGAGGGACCAAGGGCGGAGGGAAACCUUGAGAGAUGGUUAAGGUAGCCGAGGAGUAACUAGUGCCAUGUUCUAAGUCACCUAAUCUAGUUUUCUGUUUUUCCUUAGAGAAACAAAUAUAAAACCCGCAAAUCUCCUACCCUUAAGGUAGAAUAAAACACCUCCCAUAAACGCAGCAAACUAAACGCUUGUGUGAUUCUCUGUCAUGGCUAUGGAAAGGCAAUGGGCUCCCCACGGGGAUGAGAGGAGAGAGGCAGAUGAGGGAGGCUCAGGGGGAGGGAAAACGGAGAAAGAUCGUUGUAAGUCACACAUGCUGGCUGCAGGGUCUGGGUUCUGUUUUCUGUGUUCUCUGCCCUUGACUACUGUCCCCAGCUGCCUCCUGGGCCCGAGCUCUUGUGUCUGUCCAGGGGUGGGAGGAAGGGGUGUGGGAGCUCUGCGCCUGUAGUAGGGGUCAGACUUCUCCAGGGUAGGGCCACAUGCUGGAGUAAUGGGGCUUUGGCCAGAGUCAGGCAUGGGCUGUGAUAGGUCUCCAGAGCUGCUGGGGCCUGACGAGCAUUGGUGGGGGCUCCACCUGAAUUCCAGUGUGUCCCCUGCCCCCUCUCCCUGGGGAGUCAACCCAUGAAGCCCAGAGAGGCCCCGCGCUGGGCCAUGCAUGGCCAGGAGGUCAGGGAGCAAAACCCCAGGUGGCCUUUAGUGCGUGGGUCUGGGGGGUGGGUGGUGACAGGACCUGAGGACACUCAGGCUAACAGGCCUGCCCCUAAUUGUCAUACUCUUGGCCAUCCCUGUGCGCCUCAACCGAACCUUCCCAGCAAAGGCCUGCCUUGUGCUGAGUCUUUUGUUACUUUAAUUAAUGGCCAGCUUCCUGAUGAAUAAUUAAGCUGAAAUUGUUCCAUGUCCAAUAGCUGAGUGUCCCAUUAGAUACAAGUUAAUAUAAUGGCCGUAGUGGCAGUAAAAUGAGGCUGGUACAGCCCUGGGGAAAGCUGGCCACACACAGGGAAGGCACCCAGCCUGUGCCCCCCGCCUGCGUGGGGUGGGGGUCCUUCACCGGGCCACGCACUUGGGGGCCCAGCCCAGAGGGAGCUUGACCCUCCUCUGAGCCCGGGGCCUCCAGCUCCCCUGCACCCUGGAGGGGAACCUGCUUUUUUCCUGCUGAUGCUCCCUGCUUCCUAUUAUAUGAGAAAUUCAGGUGAGUGUAAGAAAAAUUGCAAUAUGCAGAAAAAUUAGAGAAAGGAAAAGGAGGACCCCUGCACCCCAGAAAUGAGUGUCCCUUUCCCUGUGUUAUCUUCCUGUGGUCCUGCCUUGGGCUCUGCCAGGGGCUGGAUGGUGCUCUCUGAGGCCUGUGGUGAGGCAGGGGCAGGGGUCCCUUGAGCAAGCAGUGGGCACUGAGGCCAGUAGCGAGGAGUCUCUUAUUCUUCAGGCCUGGUAGUUCCAGGAGAAGCCCCAGGGCACAGGAUUGGGGGUGGCUGGACAAGGUUGGCUCUGACCCUGAUGUCCCCACUGUGCAGGGGAGCCUCUGGGGAGGGCUGCCAGUGGCCAAAGGGGUCAUGCCUGGUUGGCCUGUCCCCCUUGAGUUUGGAUUCCAUUCCUGGAGUAAUUGGAGUGGGUGGAGUGGACCGGAAGGAAGGCCACCCUGGGGAGGCCUGUGGAAGUCACCAUGUGGGUGCUGAUUUCUCUCUGUGUUAGGCUCCCACAUGAGGGCCCCCUGAGGCGGGAGUGGCCCUAGCCCAAGGUUGGGGCUCAGGGGGGAGCUGGUUGUGCCAGUUGUGGGGUGGGCUCAGGUGUGGGGACCAGGGCAGGUCUCUGGUUGGUAGUGGUGCUGUGCCUGGCACUCCUUCCGCAGCUUGUAUGCUGUCUGGAGCCAACUUGAGGUUGGGGCUGCAUCCAUCUUGCCCCCUACUGUCCCCCAGUAUCCAGCUCAGUGCCCCUGAGGGGCUGGGUAAGUGUAUGUGUUAGGAGAUGGCAGUGCAUCUCAUGCUUCCACCCAGGGAUGCCCCAUGACUUGGCAUUUUUGAGGAACCAAGGACCACCCCCCAUGUUCCUUCCCAGAAGGACAUGGCCCCUUGCACCCCACUGUACAUUCGGUUUUUCUCUGAGCUCCUCGUUUGUGGUGUGGCGGUUGCUGUUUGCACAGAGCAAAUCCAGGGCACGUUUGUUUAGUGAGAUUGCCUCUGUAACAGGGGUCCCACAGGACAGGACAGGCACGGCGAGAAGUGUGCACACACUGAGCAUAGCCCCGCGAGUGGCUCUGUCUACUCUGGAAGUGAGGACACUGCAGCCAGCCCAGAGCAUUGGAUGGCACGGUCAUAAGGUGGCCACUCACAGUGGGGCACUGGACUCGCACAAAUCAGGUCCUUACACGGUGGCCCUAUCAUAGUAGCCCUUUGGCCAAUCUCCUGGGCUUUGAGAGCUAUGUGUAGAGGGCUCCACCCUGGGCCCAAGGUCAGGGGGAGCAGCCCCCUUCCCUGAGGGAGGGAGACCCAGACCAGAGGCGUGGGAAGAGUGGGAGGUGGCAAGUGCCAACAGCAGAUGUAGACACUCUGAGGGCCUGGCUAGGGGAGUGGUGGGACCAGCCUGUGACCAAAACAUGACCCUGGAGCCAAGGACACCAGGGUUUAUGAGCUUGCUCUGCCAUUUAUAAGCUGGGGGACCUUGGGCAGGUGGGUCUCCAUCUCUGAGUCAGUGGACAGGGUACAAGGAGGGAUCUUGCCCACAGGUAAGAUGAGCAAUAUGUUGGCUACACAAGGGCUGGGCCCUGCGUUGUCCUGGGCAAUCAGCUAAGGGCAAAUAGGUCGGGGGAGGUAACUGGGGGCAAGGCAUCCAGGGGGCACCGAAGGCAGUCACCCCCGCCUGCAGAGCCUGAGUCCCAUUUGAGCACUGAGACCCUGCCUGGGCAAGGACCCCCUUUCGGCUUCACCUCCUGAGCAUGGUUGGUACAGGGUUUACUGCACCCCUUAUCCACUCAGGAAGGGAGGGGACCCUGGGGGGAUUUAUCCCAUCACUAUUCAGAAAGGAGAGCCUAGCUACAAUCGUGGGGUCACUUCCUAUUCUUUUUUCUGGAAAAGAGGCCCAUGAGGGGCUCUGCCUGGAGCUUUGGGGUGCUUCAGUUGGUCCUAUUUUCUAAGGGGCAUGUUGGCACCUGUGGGUUCUGGGGUGGGUCCGGAUGAGCCUUUGCUGUCCCUAGCACACUGUACUGAGCCCUGCCUGCAGGGGCUUACAAGGCCCCUGAAGGUGGCCACACAGUCCUUGACCCUCUAUGACACUGGUCUUUUUCCCUCCCUGGACCCAGGCAGGUCUGGGACACCUUUGACCAUUAAUGUUAGGUGGACAUGGUGCUGUGCUGAGUCCAGGCCUUCCGAGCCUUUCCACCUCCUGCUCUUGACCCUGAGCUGCCACAUACGGAGUCUGACUUCCUUGGAGAGGGGCCUCUUGCUGAGCCCCCUGCCAGCCAGCUCACCAGAACCAGGCACGCACUGAGUGCCACGGAGGGACCCCUGUGGACACCACAUGGAAUAGAACCUCAUCCGCCCAGCCCUGCCCAAUUCCAGACCCACUGGCUGAGCACACAAGAGCCACUGGGCCAGUUUGUUACCUACAGCAGCCCCAGUGGCAUCGAGGACAUUGACUGAGAAUUACACUGGCGAACCCCCACCUAUGCCUCGCAAUCUAGCUCCACAAAGCCCCAGCAGCCAAGGAGAAAACAAGGACUUUAUGGCUGGUGCAUUUUACAGUCCAUGACUGCUGUGAACACCGGACUCCUCUUGGAACUGGAAGACUCAUAAAAUGCAUGUGAAUUUUUAUGUUCCAUUAUCCCAGGUAGCUACCCUCUAGGACCCCAGCCUGUGUCAGCCCCACUCCUGCUCACGCUCAGAUGAGAAGCCUGGCCCCUCCUGUCUUCCCGGGCGUCACUCCACGCACUUACUUGCUUUACCCUGGGGAACAGCUGGCUCUGGCCAGGCUCUAACUGCUCUACCCUGUCUCCUCCUCCCCUACUUCCCUUCCCACCUGUGAGGCAGGUAAGGUCUCCUUAGUCCACCUGAGCCCUUGCCAGAGGCUCCCACGUGGAUGACACUUCGUUGUGUGAGGCACCCCACCAAAGCCAGAGAAACCUGUGCCACCAGGGCUGGAGGACCAGGGCUCCCCGGGCUCCUGGGGGACCGUGCCCCUGACAGAGCCUGUUGUCCUGAGCCUCUGUUUCCUCUCCUGAAAAAUGGACUUGUGACUACCAUUACAGCUGAGAAAAUGCCUAGCAAGGGAUUGGUACUUGGGCUGCGUUACCCAGGGCUGAGGGCAGGGGCUGCCCAGGGUUUGGCUGCGCAGGGGAGCCGAGCGCAGCGGGGAGCAGGCUCAUCAGUUGCAGCCUCACGUCCUUUCAUUACGGUGCCUGCAGAAGAUGUUCUCUGAUUAGUCUGCUGAAUUAUGAAUUAGGUUCCGGGUCCCUGUGCAGCUGUUCCCGGCUUGUCAUCCCCACCACUUUAUUUCCCCAUCUGCUUAUAAAACCAGGAGCUCCGUCCUGCAAUAAACACUUC